GUGACUAAUCUCCGGGAAGGCGUCCAGCAUGAGCCGUGAGGCCUGCGCCUGGGCCAGACUUUACCGCUCACCAGGAGUCUCUGCCCGCCGCCCCCAGCGCAGUUCUCUUCCCUGCUAGACGUAAAGUCCUGGGGACAAGCACAGCCCAAGCACUUUCUGGAGAGAAGAUUUUGAUGGGGAAAGAUAAGAGAGCAUUUGGAUGUCUAUGCACCGUCAACAGAAAUGAGGCUUCAGGCCAAGGCUUCUAAAAUGCAGGAUUCCCAAAGUGGCAGUCACAUAAGACGGAUCCCUCCAUCGCCUUCUAGAAUAUUGAGAAGAUCAUCACGCCUGGGACUGGCUCAUCACGCUGGGACUGGCUCACAGCACUAAUCUUUUUCUUGUUAGCAGAGACUCCAGGAAGCAGAUGAGCAGACCUAUGGGCCUGCUAUGUGCACCUGCCGCCUGCCUGGGAUCCUGCAUCACCCAAGUCUUCCUGCGGACCACCCUGGGUGGUGCACAUGCGGUCAUCAUUGUACAAACGAAGCUUUAGUUCUAUAAUGAAAGCCCCUUUAAUAAGUUAUGCUCCUUGAAGACUGGGUCAGCGUCUCUUUCACCUCUUUAUCCCCAGACUUAGCACAAUUACAGCCCCAAAUCGGCAAUGGACCUUUGACCAAAUGACAUGUCAGUGCUUCAGGGAGCUUCACUGAUCAGGACAGAAAUGAGUGACUGGAGGAAGGUGACCCGGAUGUCUGUAACCCCCAGAAAGGGUGAGAUGGCUAUUUCAUCAGCCAGCAUUGCCGAGUUGUUUGUGUGACGACAUUCUGUCUGACUGCUGGGCCUUACCAGUGUGUUCUCUGCUGGAGCCAUGACAGUUUGAGUUGAGGACAUUUUACAUCAAUCACUGAACUGCACAAAAGAUGGAAAUCCAGCAAGGGACCCAGUCGACCUGACUGACCACAGAGCUACCUUUUGCUCUUUCUGGAUGCCACACGGCCUCCUCAUCCCGCCUGUCCUUGGAGCUUGUGUUGGUCCACUUUCAUGCUGCUGAUAAAGCCAUACUUGAGACUGGGUAAUUUAUGAAGAAAAAGAGGUUUAAUGGACUCACAGUUCCACGUGGCUGGGGAGGCCUCACAAUCACAGCGGAAGUUGAAAGGCGUGUCUUACAUGGCGGCAGGCAAGAGAAAAUGAGAGCCAAGCAAAGGGGGUUUCCCCUUAUAGAACCAUCAGAUCAGCUGGGUGCAGUGGCUCACUCUUGUAAUCCCAGCACUUUGGGAUGCUGAGGUGGGAGGAUUACAAGGUCAGGAGUUUGAGACCAGCCUGACCAAUAUGGUGAAACCCCAUCUCUACUAAAAAUACAAAAAUUAUCUGGGCAUGGUGGCAUGCGCCUGUAGUCCCAGCUACUCAGAAGGCUGAGGCAGGAGAGUCGCUUGAACCUGGGAGGCGGAGGUUGCAGUGAGCUGAGAUUGUGCCACUGCACUCCAGCCUGGGCCACAAAGCGAGACACUGUCUCAAAAAAACAAAAACAAAAACAAAAACAAAAAAAUCCAUCAGAUCUCAUGAGACUUAUUCACUACCAUGAGAACAGUAUGGGGGAAACCACCCUCACGAUUCAAUUAUCUCCUGCUGGGUCCCUCCCUCAACACAUGGGAAUUAUGGGAGCUACAAUUCAAGAUGAGAUUUGGGUGGGGACACAGCCAUACCAUAUCAGAGCUGUGCUCCCAAGCACCCAAGUACUGCCGAGUUCUCAGGCUGGCAGCUCCAGCUGAUGGCACGUCACUGGGGGGUGAGGGGUUGAGGACCUGAGCUGCCCCCAGGCUCUGCAAUGGAAAGCAUCAGGCUGGUCUUGGACAUUCUGGGUGGGAACUGUCUAGAACCUGGAUGCUGGGUUGGAGAAGAGCCUCAGGUGGAAUCGCCAGGAUUCUCAGCUGUCGAGAAUGUCACCUGCUGCUGUACCCCCAACAGCAAGGGAGGCACCUGGCACAUCGUGAGCAACUCUCGUGUAUUUGUUGCAUGAUCUAGUCCAAGAAUGGCCAAUGAGUUUCACCUGCCAGUUUUCACAGGCCUGUGUGCCGGGAGUGUUCCUUACCAUUUUUUCAUUAUUAUUCUGCUAAGGAGGAUUUUUAGACAUUAUAUUCCUAGUCAAGCCCUCAUCUCUGCAAUGAAAUUAUAAUACCACUGUUGACCCAAAGCUGAGUAGCAAGCACUAGAACUGAGGGAAAUCAUGGUGAGAUUUAUUCUGAGCCAAGUUGGAGGACUUAAGCCCAGGAACACAGAAUCAGUGUCCACUGAGAGUGUAUCUCAAAGCAGACUCCAGGAGGCACCGUGCACUUACAUUUUCUAACAGGCGGAUGUGUGUGGCCCAGAGGGUGGGAGAGGCAAGCAGUGAAGCAGCCGUGACAUUCCUGAGAUUCUGAUGAGCGCUCGGUGGCACUGCCCACACGAUAAGGAACUAUAAACCUGUUCAUGUGUUGGCCCUCUCGAGAAUCGCAAAUAUUGCAAUGGCCAAGAAUUUUUGUUCACCCACGAGCUAAUGUUGCCCCCUUGGGAGUGACUCUGCCAGACUGAGGAUGCCUGGCCUGAGUGUAGGGCUGCUUUGGGUGUGAGGACAGGAGUGGCCCGUAGCCCCGUGAGCAGCCACCACCCGUGAGAAGCCCAGGCUCCCAGCCGCAGGGGGCCUUGUGUCUCUGCCCCCAGGUCGGUGCAGACGGGGGCCAGGGUCCCCACCUGCCAGCCUGGUGCUCACUGCACAGCAAGAAGGUUUCCCAGCGGGAACAGACUGAACCAGGCCCUGGUCCUCCAAGGACACAGAAGUCAGGGACAGAACUGAACUGUGACCAAUCGAUGGAUCUGUCGUCGUUGAUCUCAGGCUGCCUUCUUAUCAGAAGUUCAAAGUUCUUCAAAGUGAGGAAGAUCAACUGGAGGAUUUCAACUGAUCUUUUUUUUUUUUUUUUUUCUCAAACCUAACUGUUGAGUUCAGGGUUUCCAGCCGUCUCUGUGCCCAGGUGGGGCCGUUUCUGACGGCAGCAUCACUGGUGCACAGCAGUGGGUGACAGGGACCUCGGCCGCAUUGCGCCUACGCCGUGCAGGAUCACAGAGGUGCUGGGAGCUAGGGAGACAGCAGUGACCCUCCUACAGCGGUGACCUUGUUCUCAGUCACAGGGCACGUCCCAGUCACAGGGCACGCAGUGAUUCGUUGUGUGCUCAGCAAAGGUAGAUCCGGGCUCCCAAAUAACGAAGGGGGAGGAGAGGAUGGCGGCAGCAAGGCCCACGCUCCUGGGUGCCACCUCGGGACAUUCUGACUCUGGUUUUGGGAGGGACCCAAGCAUAUGCAUUUGAAGCAACCUCCCCAGGUGAUUCUGAGUUCCAGGUAGUUUGGGGGAUCCCAGAUCAGCCAGCAGCACCCCAGGUUCAGCAAGGAUGCUGGGUUUCCGCUCGGCAGCUUCCUAGCCUGCAACAGGACAGGUGCUUCCACCCUACUCCGAUCUGCAGGGAGCCCUAAGAAACUGGUCUCAGCCAGGAUCCCAGGAGAGACGAAAGUGCCCUGGGGCUGCGUGGCUGGAGGACAGCAUCAGGACAAUCCGCAGAGCAGGAAGUAGGGAACCCAGCUGAAGGCUGGUGCACUCUCUGGGUCAACAGCAGGCGGCUGUAGGGCCUGAAGGGGCAGGGGAAGAAGACACCUGGGGAGACGGGCUGCCUGGGGAGCAUCUCUGCAGUGACCUCGCCCCAGGGUGGGACAGGGGCCUACGCCAGCCAGCUCCAGUGACUCCUCUAGAAGGAGUCUGGGUCAGCGGGCUCUCACUCACUCUCCAUGUUCCAGUCUCUGGGGCUGCCUUUUGGGCCACACCUGAUUGCAGCCAGGGCAGAGGGAAAGUGUGGGAUGGAGCCACCCUGCAGGAAGGGACACCAUCCGUUCUGUGCAGCCAACCACUCUGGCUGAGGCUCCCUCUCUAACCUGUCUCCCCAGCCUGAAUUAUUGAAGUUAUUGAAAGAUGACCAUUUUGAAAUCAUCUGCUAAUCUUGUCUAUUGUUCCCUUCUUUGUGUUGUGAACCCGGAAAAUUUGAGCCAGGCCUCAGUUAAUUUAGAAAAUUUAUUUUGCUGAGGUUGAGGACGCGCACCUGUGACACAGCCUCAGGCGGUCCUGACGACAGGUGUCCAAGGUGGUGAGAGCACAGUUUGGUUUUAUACAUUCUAGGGAGACAUGAGACAUCAAUCAACACAUGUAGGAUGAACAUUGGUUUGGUCUGGAAAGGCGGGACAACUCGAAGCAAAGGCAGGAAGACUCGAAGCGGACGGGGGCUUCCAGGUCAUAGGUAGGUAAGAGACAAAUGGUUGCCUCCUUUUGAGUUUCUGAUGAGCCUCUCCAAAGGAGGCAAUCAGAUGUGCAUUUAUCUCAGUGAGCAGAGGAGUGACUUUGAAUAGAAUGGGAGGCAGGUUGGUCCUAAGCAGUUCCCAGCUUGGCUUCUCCCUUCUCCCUUUGGCUAAGUGAUUUGGGGGUCCCUGGAUCUCUUUUCCUUUCACCCUGUCCAUGAGUGUCCGGUGUUUGACUCCCACUUAUAAGUGAGAACAUGUGGUAUUUGAUUUUCUGUUCCUAUGUUAAUUUACUUACUACAAUGGCUUGCAGCUCCAUCCAUGUUGCUGCAAAGGACAUAAUUUUGUCCUGUUUUAUGGCUGCAU